CCAAACCCCUCAACCUCAGUCCCAUCCAAUGCCUUAGUUCUUUCCAACCCACCUGAACCAGUUAGUACCACAAAGGAUCAGGACAUUAUUGACUUACUCAGUAUCACUUUGUCAAUGUCACCAUCUCCACAGACAAGUUAUGCACCACCUCCACAGACAAGUUAUGCACCACCUCCACAGACAACAUAUGCACCUUCAGCAUCUAGCCAAGGCAUGCAUCAGACACCUGCUCCAUCCAGAACAGAAGGGUUUUCUUAUGCUUCCCAAACAUAUCCGGGAAACUUGUCAUACAACAGUUAUGUUGUUCCUUGGGCUCAAUCUCAAUCGAAGUCGGAUCUUCAAACCCAGCCUCAGCAACAGACAUAUCAAUCCCAAUCCCAACCCCCAACCCCAACCUCAACUCGACAAUUACAUCCGCAUUAUGAAUCUGAACAAGCUCAUCAUCAUCAACCGACCCAACAGGUAAGGUCCCAGCCCCAGUCCGAACAAUUGCAAUCACAACCCCUGCCACAAUCCCCACGUGUAUUGCAACAACCUCAAAAUCCUCAAUAUAGCCCUCCUCAACAACAAUCACAACCUCAAUAUAGCCCUCCUCAACAACAUAUGCAACCUCAUAAUGAACCGCAACCACUACAGUAUCAGCCCCAGCACCAAACGCUGCAAUCUCAGCCUCAGCCCCAACCCGGACACAUUCAACAACCUCAACCGCAGCCACAAUUUCAGAAUC
rnacentral:lncRNA from 1 species